AUUGAACGCUGGCGGCAUGCUUUACACAUGCAAGUCGAGCGGCAGCGCGGGGUCAACCCUGGCGGCGAGCGGCGAACGGGUGAGUAAUGCAUCGGAACGUAUCCUCGAGUGGGGGAUAACCCAGCGAAAGUUGGGCUAAUACCGCAUGAGCUCUGAGGAGGAAAGCGGGGGACCUGCGAGGGCCUCGCGCUGGAGGAGCGGCCGAUGUCCGAUUAGCUAGUUGGUGGGGUAAAGGCUUACCAAGGCGACGAUCGGUAGCUGGUCUGAGAGGAUGAUCAGCCAGACUGGGACUGAGACACGGCCCAGACUCCUACGGGAGGCAGCAGUGGGGAAUUUUGGACAAUGGGGGCAACCCUGAUCCAGCCAUGCCGCGUGAGUGAAGAAGGCCUUCGGGUUGUAAAGCUCUUUCGGACGGAACGAAAUGGGCGGGACUAAUACUCCUGUCUGAUGACGGUACCGUAAGAAGAAGCACCGGCUAACUACGUG
rnacentral:rRNA from 1 species